CAGUCGCCGCGGUAAUACAGAGGGUGCGAGCGUUAAUCGGAUUUACUGGGCGUAAAGCGUGCGUAGGCGGCUUUUUAAGUCGGAUGUGAAAUCCCUGAGCUUAACUUAGGAAUUGCAUUCGAUACUGGGAAGCUAGAGUAUGGGAGAGGAUGGUAGAAUUCCAGGUGUAGCGGUGAAAUGCGUAGAGAUCUGGAGGAAUACCGAUGGCGAAGGCAGCCAUCUGGCCUAAUACUGACGCUGAGGUACGAAAGCAUGGGGAGCAAACAGGAUUAGAUACCCCGGUAGUCCCUGUCUCUUAUUU
rnacentral:rRNA from 1 species